AUCCACCUGACGAAUCCUAAGUAGGACGAAACGCACGUCCUGGAU
rfam:Schistosoma mansoni strain Puerto Rico chromosome 6, complete genome